CGACGGGUAACAGCGCAAGAAAUUUCAAAUUUGGGGAGAUUCAGAAAACAAGUGGCUUUGAAGGAAGAAAUCCAAAGCGGUAUCAAUUCAGUGGAUUGUCGAUUUUCAGUUUUUGUUGCAGCGAAAACCUUUUGGCAAACUGUGUGCGGCAGCGGAGCACACCUCUCCGGCCUCCCUCCGCUCCGACUUGGAGUCCAGCAGCCGCUUAUUUCGCAAGUAUUUUCCUCAUUUAUAUUCUUUUACACGUUGUAUACUUCUAUGUAAAUAUAAUUUAAUUUAUAUAUAAUUUUUAUUUUCCUCA